GACGAACGCUGGCGGCGUGCUUAACACGUGCAAGUCGAACGGAAAGGCCCUGCUUUUGUGGGGUGCUCGAGUGGCGAACGGGUGAGUAACACGUGAGUAACCUGCCCUUGACUUUGGGAUAACUUCAGGAAACUGGGGCUAAUACCGGAUAGGAGCUCCUGCUGCAUGGUGGGGGUUGGAAAGUUUCGGCGGUUGGGGAUGGACUCGCGGCUUAUCAGCUUGUUGGUGGGGUAGUGGCUUACCAAGGCUUUGACGGGUAGCCGGCCUGAGAGGGUGACCGGCCACAUUGGGACUGAGACACGGCCCAGACUCCUACGGGAGGCAGCAGUGGGGAAUAUUGCACAAUGGGCGGAAGCCUGAUGCAGCAACGCCGCGUGCGGGAUGACGGCCUUCGGGUUGUAAACCGCUUUCGCCUGUGACGAAGCGUGAGUGACGGUAAUGGGUAAAGAAGCACCGACUAACUACGUG
rnacentral:rRNA from 1 species